ensembl:snRNA U2 U2 spliceosomal RNA
AUUGCUUUUCAGCCUUGGAUAAGCUCACACUAAGUAUCUGUUCUUUAUCAGUUUAAUAUCUGAUAUAUUCCCUAAAGGAGGACCAAAUAUUAAAUAGAUUUUUGGAACAGGGAGGUGCUAUAGGGGAUUGCUCCAUCCAUUCCAUGCAUCGGCCUGGCAUUGCAGUACCUUCUGCACAGUGGAAGAGUG